AAAAAAACCUAAAAAAUUGAGAAACAAAGCUUUCCAAAAGGAGAUAUGGAAAUAGUCACGAGAAAAAGUAAGCCAAAGAAGAAUCUGACAACUAGAAUAAGAGAUGUCUGCUGACAUAAGAGAUCAAAUUUUUUUCAAGGAGAACAGCAAGCUUCACUGAGAAUGUAAAUGUGCCUUCAAAUAAUCCAGAAGAAAGAAGAAAUCAGAAUAACUUUAGAAUAGCUCUACAUAUGUGUAGAAGUGGUUGCAAAAAUGUU